rnacentral:rRNA from 1 species
UACGGGGGGGGCAAGCGUUGUUCGGAAUUACUGGGCGUAAAGGGCUCGUAGGCGGCCAACUAAGUCCGACGUGAAAUCCCCAGGCUUAACCUGGGAACUGCGUCGGAUACUGGAUGGCUUGAAUCCGGGAGAGGGAUGCGGAAUGCCAGGUGUAGCGGUGAAAUGCGUAGAUAUCAAGAGGAACACCUGAGGUGAAGACGGGUUGCUGGGCUGACACUGACGCUGGAGGCGCGGAAAGCCAGGGGAGCGAAACGGG